UCUUUCACGUUGGUCACACAAUAUCGAGGAACCGAUACACGUUCCUCUCAUCCAGCGUUCGCUUCUUCUAUUAUCAUUCUUUUUAGCAGACAGUGUAGUGCCUAAUUGACUGCAGCAUAUUCACGUACAAGACACUUGUGCACGUACAAGUCACGUACAAGGCACGUGGUAAACUUCACCAGGAUAUAACCAUUUUCAAGCGCGUCAGUGUGUCUUUUUCUUUGACAGAUCCAAUAUGAAGGUGUUGUCAACUUUCCUUGUGAUCUUGGCGACCUGUGAUCACGUCACCAAUGGAUACCGGAUCCUCGGCGUAUUUCCUUUUCAAGGUUAUAGUCAUUGGAUAAUGAUAGAACCUCUGAUGGAAGGUUUGGCGCAACGUGGCCAUCAGGUGGACGUGAUAUCGCACUUCCCACGGAACAAGGCGGUACCGAAUUACAUGGACAUCAGUAUAUCCGGCAGCAUGCCUAAAUUUGAAAACAACAUUAACUCGACGCAAAUAUUUACGUUCAACCAUUUUUCCAUAAAGGAUCUCAUCCAUGUAACCGGGACUAUGCUUUGUAAGCUGCUGGCCCAUCCAAAGAUACAAAAUGUGAUCAAGAAUCCGCCGCAGGAUCCUCCUUACGAUCUUGUUAUCGUAGAGGUGUUGGUAUCACCAUGCUUUUUGGCUUUCGGCCGUCAUCUCAACGUUCCGAUCGUCGGUUUGGUAAACAUAAACUUUCCCGACUGGCUGAACAAGUUGCACAGCGAUCUGUUUAAUCCCUCCUACAUGCCGAGCUUCAUCUCGCCGUUCGGACAACAGAUGAACUUCAAGGAACGUAUGCACAACUUCUUCAUGGCGCAUCUGACCUUCGCAGAAUUCCUCUACCUCACGAGCUUUCAAAUGGAAGACGUAGAGAAGAAUUUCGGCAUAAAAAAUGCUACCGUUAUUGACCUGCACAAUGAUAUAUCUUUGUAUCUGGUCGACUCGCACAUCUCAUUGUACGGAAUCAAACCGUUAACCCCCGCCGUAGUCGAUGUGGGCGGUCUACACAUCAAGAAUGACAAUGUUACACUCUCGUCGGAAGUGCAAAAAUGGCUGGACGAAAGCAAGGACGGCUGCGUGUACUUCACAUUCGGUUCUAUGAUCAGGAUCGAAACUUUCUCUAAGGAAAUAAUAGAAAUAUUCUACACGUCCUUCAAGAAGAUCGCGCCGGUUCGGGUACUAAUGAAAGUUGCGAAAAAAGAAGAUUUACUGCCGGGAUUACCGGAUAACGUCAUGACGCAAUCUUGGUUCCCACAAAACGCUGUGCUGAAGCACAGAAACAUACGAGCUUUCAUUACACACGGUGGAAUAAAAGGGACGCAGGAGGCGAUUUAUUUCGGAGUCCCUAUGAUCGGCAUCCCCCUGUUUCUCGAUCAGUAUUUGAACAUCGUGAUAUACGACAAAAAGAAGGUAGCUAUCUCGCUAAACUCGAUACACGACGUCACCGAGGAGAAAUUAACAUCGGCGCUAAAUAGCAUCCUGAAGGAUCCCAUCUAUCGAAAAAACGUGCAAAAAUUGUCGAAAUUAUUCGUCGAUCGUCCUAUGAGCGCCUUGGAUACGGCUAUAUUCUGGGUGGAAUACGUUGGAAGAAAUGGGAACAUUCUUCAAUCACCAAUCAUACGGCUCUACUGGUGGCAACGUAACUUAUUGGACCUUUAUGCCUUCUCAUUGUUCGUGGUCAUUGCGGUGCUUUUGAUCUUGAGGUUUAUUCUUCGGAAGAUCAAGACGUUCUUGUUUGGAUCGUACAUGGACAUAAAGAAGGAAAUUGCGGAGUUCACAAAGAAAAAGAACACAUAAUGAAGACCGAGAAUUUCUUCAAGAAUUUUAUUUAUGAAUAAGUUUCAAUAGAUCGAAUUAAUAGAACAAUUAUGUUAUCGAAUCCCAGAUAUCAUAAAAAGAAUCUUCGAUUUGUCAUUAACAUCAUGUUAACAAACAGCUUUCCGAUUGGCUUCAACUUUCGGAUCAUAAUAUCCUGACUUACGCCCAUAGGCAGAUAGAAACGAAUCGUUAGGGAGGGAAAACAUCUCUCUCUCUCUCUGUCUUUGAAAAAGCAAGAAAUAUCUCUUUAAAAUCUCUUUGAAAAUGCGAGACGUGUAAAACGAAUACGAUACGGCACUGAAGUAUGAAAUACUCGUAUGGAAAACAUUCUCCUUUCGAGUUCUCGCACGAGGUAAGGUAAGCGUGUAUUUUGCAAAAGUAAUGUUAGAGAAAUAGCCAUCCCAAGCAGCACGUAAACGUUCGAGGAACGUUCACUUUAUGUUAACUUGGUUUGGUUAUAUUCAAACAAAGUGGGAAUGUUCGAACAACAUACAUUUUAGAACUUCUAAUAUAUAUCUUACGUUACGUCCUUGGUACCCCGGGACGACGAACUCUUUUUUAUAUAUAUAUAUAUAUAUAUUUGGGAAGCCAACGGACUUCUGGGAAGCGCUAUCGUAAAAAGAAUAAAAUUACAAUAGCCGCCAUUAAACGCGCCAUGUGUUUCCCAACGCGUCUGUCAUCUUCUUCGCCUUCACGUAAGGCACGUAGUUUUGUUACAUUUUGGGUACCCCAGGAACAACGAACUCCUUUUGUUUUAUGUAUAUACAGUGGCUAACGAAAAUAUUCGAACGAUUAGAUUUCUUAUCUUUAGCACAUAAAAUAGGUAUGUUAAUCCUGAAUAUUUAAAGCAAUUUAGUGUCUAUAGAAAGAAGGAAGUCCUAAGAUUAUGUUAGUAAAAUUAGAAAAUAAUCCAAUCGCAUAUGUAGUGUCUACGACAGAUUUUCUUGAAAUACGUACCAGGCAUGGGUAACAAAAGUAUUCGAACGCUUCAAAGUUAUUUGUGUUUCGGUUUGUAUCUCAAUGCUGAAUGUAAACAUGAGCAUCAAAUUUAAACAAAGGAACAUUCAAUUGAUCACAAGACAUCAUUUGAGUAAGAGUAACGUACAGUUGUGCAGUGUAAUAAUGAAUACGAAUAGGAAAAAGUCAGAAACACAAAACUGUGAACAAGAAAUGCUAUUAAAACUACGUAGAGACGGAAAAUCUUAUAAUGAGAAUACGAAAAUUGUAAACAGAAAUAAAUCUACAGUGCAUUACAUAAUAAAGAAGUUUGAAAAUCAAGAAACUGUUGCCAACAAAGCUCGUUCAGGUCGUCCGAAAAAAUUGACAAGCAGAGAAGAGAAAACUAUAGGAAGUCGAAAUAUAAUUAUAGGCGGUAAAAACGGCUUCGCAAAGGGCACCGGACGAUAUUAAAGUUGAAGAAUUCCAGAGAUGCUUCAAACAGUGGGAAAAAAGACUUGACAAGUGCAUCGCAUCUAGUGGAGAGUACUUUGAAGGUGACUGAAGGAAUUUUGUAAAAAAGUUAAUAAAUAAAGUUUUCUAAAGAUCUUCUAAAAUCGCCAAUAUUUGUUCCCAAAAAAUGUAAAAUAUAUGAUAAGUAGCAUGUUUAAUAUUAAUUGAUUUUCAUCUUUUUUAUA